AACGCACAUUGCGCCCGCCAGUAUUCUGGCGGGCAUGCCUGUUCGAGCGUCAUUUCAACCCUCAGGCCCCUCCGGGCGGCCUGGUGUUGGGGACCGGCGGACGGGGGGCGGGAGGGGGACACUCUCCCUCUCCAGCCCCCCAAGGCCCGCCGCCCCCGAAAUGAAUUGGCGGUCUCGUCGCGGCCCCCUCUGCGUAGUAGCACAACCUCGCAGCAGGAGCGCGGCGCGGCCACUGCCGUAAAAACGCACCAACUUUUUCCAAGAGUUGACCUCGAAUCAGGUAGGAAUACCCGCUGAACUUAA
rnacentral:misc_RNA from 1 species